rnacentral:rRNA from 1 species
GAUGAACGCUGGCGGCGUGCCUAACACAUGCAAGUCGAACGAGAACUCUGGUACUUGUAUCAGGGGGAGAGUGGCGAACGGGUGAGUAACACGUAGGUGACCUGCCCCGAGGCGGGGGAUAACUCUGGGAAAUCAGAGCUAAAACCGCAGAUGUCCAAAAGGUUAGAGUGAUUGGACUAAAACUCCGGUGCCUGGGGAGGGGCCUGCGGGCUAUCAGCUAGUUGGUGGGGUAAGAGCCUACCAAGGCGAAGACGGCUAGGGGGCGUGAGAGCGUGACCCCCCACAAGGGAACUGAGAGACGGUCCCUACUCCUACGGGAGGCAGCAGUGAGGAAUAUUGAGCAAUGGGCGCAAGCCUGACUCAGCAACGCCGCGUGGAUGAAGAAGGCCUUCGGGUUGUAAAAUCCUUUUCUGCGGGAAGAUAAUGACGGUACCGCAGGAAUAAGUUCCGGCUAACUACGUGCCAGCAGCCGCGGUAAAACGUAGGGGACAAGCGUUAUCCGGAUUUACUGGGCGUAAAGCGCCCGUAGGCGGCCUGAUAAGUUGGCUGUGAAAGCUCCCGGCUUAACUGGGAGAGGUCAGUCAAAACUGUGAGGCUAGAGGCUGGAAGAGGAGCGUGGAAUUCCCGGUGUAGUGGUGGAAUGCGUAGAGAUCGGGAGGAACACCAGUGGCGAAAGCGGCGCUCUGGUUCAGGCCUGACGCUGAGGGGCGAAAGCGUGGGGAGCGAACGGGAUUAGAUACCCCGGUAGUCCACGCUGUAAACGAUGGAUACUAGGUGUAGGCGGUCAUUAACCCCGUCUGUGCCGCAGCUAACGCGUUAAGUAUCCCGCCUGGGGAGUACGGCCGCAAGGUUA